GGAUCCACUACCGGAACGAUCGCGGAUGGAGUUGCGGCCUUCUGGGAGAGAUGUGUCCAUGGCGUCGGAGACUGUUUGACAGCGUAAGAAAAGGCAAGACCCCCAGCACUUAAUACAGUGUCAGGCACGUAAAGAUUCUACAGGAACAAAACCUCUGCAUUGUAGGGGAACUGAAGGUAUAAUACAUAUAUGGGAUAGAUACGCACCUGUCCUAGAGUUCCAAAAAUUGCUCUUCUCAUCCAAGUGUGUGACAGUGGGUGAAAAGAGAUGAGGAGGAGAGAAGAGAGAAAGAAAUGGAGAGAGAAAAAGAGACAGAGGCAAUUAAGUAAAUAUUCAGACUUGCACUUGUCAGCCGGGCUCUCCCUGAGUUCCUGUUGAUUCUUCUGUUUAUUCUUUAUUUACAUGUGCUCUUGGAGAAGCAACCGCAUACAGUAAUUAAUCAGAGCUAUUAAUUCUGAAUAAAAUGAACUCUGGCUUACCC